AGUGAAACCAGGGCAGAUGGGGACUCCCCAACACUGGGCUUCCCCGCCCCCGACGCCGCCCUGGGGCCAGAGUCCCUGAGAGGCGGGCCUGGGGACCUGGGACUUGGCCUGGACGCCUCACCUACUGCACAGAGCGCUCUUAGUCCCACUGUGUCCCUGAGCCGUGGACCGGGAGCUGUUAGUUUAAAGGUCUUCAAUAACGAAUUCUUGUGGCCAGCAACCUAUGUGGCCAAGGCAUGGACAUUAAGCAGGUGAACUCUGCCAUCAACUACCACCGGCCUGGCGAUUCCAACACCUACCUGAGGCCUGAGCAGGCCAGUUCCCCCAAGGGCUUGGCCAUCACAUUUGUGUCAAGUGAAAAGAUCCUCAGUGAGGUGCAGGGUCACACUGAGGGCAAUAGCAGUGAGCGGCCUGAUGAGAUGAACAUUUUCUCCUCCAUUGCAGUCAUGGGAGAGGACGCACCAUUUCACAGAGCCGGAUGCAGGUCUCACACCCAGGAACCAGGAGAUCAUACAUGACCUGAGAUGAAAUCAAGAGUCGGAUGCCCAACCAACUUACCUACCAAGGCACCCCUACAGUUAUACUUCCUAAUUAAUUUCUUUUAAAAAAUAUUUUAACUUUGAAUAUAGCUGAAAGACACGAUUAUGUUAGUUACAGGUGUACAACACAGUGACUCAAAUUUUGUAUACAUUUUCUUUUUUUUGACAGAGACACAGCCAGAGCAGGUAAGAGAGGCAGAGAGGGGGAGAGAGAGAGAGAGAGAGAGAGAGAGAGAGAGAGAGAGAGAGAAAGAAAGAAAGAAAGAGAGAGAGAGAGAGAGGGAAUAAGAGAAUCUCAAGCAGGCUGAUUCCUGCAGGGCUGGAUCCCAUGACCCUGGGACUAUGAGCGGAGAACCCACUGCCACCCAGGGGACCUUCACCCUCUGUCUACACCAUGCUGUGCUCACCAGAGUGUAGCUGCCACCUGUCACCAGACAGUGAUGUUACAGUAUCACUCAUGAUAUUCCCUGUGCUGUGCCUUUUAUUCCUAAGACCUGUUCCUUCCAUAACUGGAGCCUGUGUCUCCCACUCCCCUCACCCACUGUGCCCAUCCUCCCAACCUCCUUCCCUCUGGCAGUCAUCCGUGAGUUCUCUGUAUUUAUAGGUCUGAUUCUGCUCUUUGCUUGUCUAUUUAUUCAUUUGUCUUGUUUUGUAAGUUCCACACAGGAGUGAGAUCAUGUGGUACUUGUCUUCUCAGUCUGAUUUCUUUCACGUAGCAGACACACUGCCCUGUUUGUCCAUCCACGUUGUCACAAGUGGCAAGAUCUCAUCCUUUUUGUGGCUGCAUAAUAUUCUAUCAUGUGUGUUUGUAUAUGUGUGUAUAUACCACACAUCUUCCUUACCCAUUUGUCUAUGGGUGGACACAGGUUGUAUCAGUGGGACUUUUAGAAGAACCUCAAACGCUGAACAUCAUGUGGGAUGAGGGCGCCCCCUGGUGUCCACAACACUGUCCAGGUGCUGGAGCUCAAGGAGACCUAGGGAGGGCCUGGCUGAGGAGAAAGGCAGCUGGGGUUCUUUCCUUAGUCCUAUGGCCGCACAUGGGGUGGAAGGUAAGGGGACAUCCCCCACUGCUCUGCUCUCAGGUGGAUUCUGACUGAAAAGCCUGAGUGGGGUCUGGACUGUAAGUCUGGUAGACAUGUCUGAGCAGAAUCCUGGGCAUCAGUGGGGAGAGGAAAAAGGUUCUGAGCAACCCUGGAGUCCACAGGGGUCAGGCUCAGGGAUGAGGCAGGAUUGCAGGAGAGGAGAGCUCAGGGCCAGUGUCAUUGCUGAGGUGUCUGUGUCCCUGUGCACCUGGUCCUCCAGCCCCGUGAUGGUGAUACAGGGAAAACGGAAAAGUAGAAACACUUCUUUGGACUCCUAUUUCUAAAUGUUUCAAAACUCAGUGAAACAAAAAUCAUUUCUGAUGUGGAAAUAGCAUCUAAAUGUCUAUACAAUGCUUCAUAGUGUGGACAUGUACACUCACAGUUUGUAAGUUGACCCCGCAUCAGGCUCUGGGCCGACAGCACUGAGUCUGCUUGGGAUUCUCUCUCUCUCCCUCCCUUUCCCUCUCUCUUUGCCCCUCCCCUGCUCGUGUACUCUCUCUCUGUCUCUC